rnacentral:rRNA from 1 species
GAUGAACGCUGGCAGCGUGCCUAAUACAUGCAAGUCGAGCGAACGGACGAGAAGCUUGCUUCUCUGAUGUUAGCGGCGGACGGGUGAGUAACACGUGGAUAACCUACCUAUAAGACUGGGAUAACUUCGGGAAACCGGAGCUAAUACCGGAUAAUAUUUUGAACCGCAUGGUUCAAAAGUAAAAGACGGUCUUGCUGUCACUUAUAGAUGGAUCCGCGCUGCAUUAGCUAGUUGGUAAGGUAACGGCUUACCAAGGCAACGAUGCAUAGCCGACCUGAGAGGGUGAUCGGCCACACUGGAACUGAGACACGGUCCAGACUCCUACGGGAGGCAGCAGUAGGGAAUCUUCCGCAAUGGGCGAAAGCCUGACGGAGCAACGCCGCGUGAGUGAUGAAGGUCUUCGGAUCGUAAAACUCUGUUAUUAGGGAAGAACAUAUGUGUAAGUAACUGUGCACAUCUUGACGGUACCUAAUCAGAAAGCCACGGCUAACUACGUGCCAGCAGCCGCGGUAAUACGUAGGUGGCAAGCGUUAUCCGGAAUUAUUGGGCGUAAAGCGCGCGUAGGCGGUUUUUUAAGUCUGAUGUGAAGCCCACGGCUCAACCGUGGAGGGUCAUUGGAAACUGGAAAACUUGAGUGCAGAGAGGGAAAGUGGAAUUCCAUGUGUAGCGGUGAAAUGCGCAGAGAUAUGGAGGAACACCAGUGGCGAAGGCGACUUUCUGGUCUGUAACUGACGCUGAUGCGCGAAAGCGUGGGGAUCAAACAGGAUUAGAUACCCUGGUAGUCCACGCCGUAAACGAUGAGUGCUAAGUGUUAGGGGGUUUCCGCCCCUUAGUGCUGCAGCUAACGCAUUAAGCACUCCGCCUGGGGAGUACGACCGCAAGGUUGAAACUCAAAGGAAUUGACGGGGACCCGCACAAGCGGUGGAGCAUGUGGUUUAAUUCGAAGCAACGCGAAGAACCUUACCAAAUCUUGACAUCCUUUGACAACUCUAGAGAUAGAGCCUUCCCCUUCGGGGGACAAAGUGACAGGUGGUGCAUGGUUGUCGUCAGCUCGUGUCGUGAGAUGUUGGGUUAAGUCCCGCAACGAGCGCAACCCUUAAGCUUAGUUGCCAUCAUUAAGUUGGGCACUCUAAGUUGACUGCCGGUGACAAACCGGAGGAAGGUGGGGAUGACGUCAAAUCAUCAUGCCCCUUAUGAUUUGGGCUACACACGUGCUACAAUGGACAAUACAAAGGGCAGCGAAACCGUGAGGUCAAGCAAAUCCCAUAAAGUUGUUCUCAGUUCGGAUUGUAGUCUGCAACUCGACUACAUGAAGCUGGAAUCGCUAGUAAUCGUAGAUCAGCAUGCUACGGUGAAUACGUUCCCGGGUCU